CCUCAUACUGAGUCUUUCCCG
rnacentral:miRNA from 1 species